GAACAGGUGCACCUAGGAGAUACUCCCCAUAACUUGGCUGAAAGUGAUUUUGAACAUUUGGCUCGCAAGACAGAGGGGUUUUCAGGUUCAGAUAUAUCUGUCUGUGAAUCCUGAGGAUAUGUGGAUCCUAUGUGGACCAAAGUAACAGAGUGCAGUACAAACUACAAUUCAGGAUCUUGCGGCGAAAGGACUUGCUUCUAAGAUCCUGCCGCCUCCUAUAUCGAGAACAGAUUUUGACAAAGUACUUGCUAGACAAAGACCCACCGUAAGCAAGUCUGACCUUGAUGUUCAUGAGUGAUUCACAAAGGAGUUCGGAGAGGAAGGAUAAUUCUGAGAGAAUUUUUCUUCAACCAUCUUCACUAGUUUAAACAUGUUAUGAUUUGUAAUUUACAGAGCUAUUGGAUCAAGUGAAAUGAAUAUUUUUACUAAUCAUAAUUUGUGUAUAAAAACAGACUGAUGAAAUGAUCAGAAAAAUAAAUUUUAUGUGAAUAUGUGAUUCCAGUUACUCAUGUUGGUCGGCUUUUUGAAUGUAGAUGUCACAAAUUUUAUGAUAGUUAUAGGUUUGAGUUUUUUCAGAUUCCAAGUUGGGGUGAGGGUUGACAAUUUCAGCUGCUAUGCUUCACCCAGCCGCAAGAGACAAACUAAUUUCAUCACUAAACUGUGUCAAAUGAUCGCCUUCCUCUUCUCUCUUCUUGAAAGGGUGGCUGAGUCAAAUGAUCACAACCAACAGCACCAGAAGAUCUCAGUGUUCCAUGGCUUGACAAGGCCAAACAUCUCAAUUUAGAGCUACCUUGAGAGAAUCUUCAAGUACGCCAACUGCAACCCCUCGUGCUUCGUCGUUGCCUACGUCUACCUCGAUCGAUUCACUCAGAGACAACCCUCCCUUCCCAUCAACACCUUCAACGUGCACCGUUUGCUGAUCACUAGUGUCAUGGUAGCUGCCAAGUUCAUGGAUGACAUCAUCAGCGAACCAAAAGCAGCAGCACUCCACCAUUACAGUAAAAGCUUCCAAGGUUUCUCAGCCAUGAUUACACCAGAGCAAGCUAGUUAACUUGCAGAAUAUGAAUCAGUAUUGUCCGUAUUUGAGAGCAAAAUGAAUAAACUUCACACAACACAUUCUUGGGAUUUUCUUGGAUUAGAAACUAUCAGUAAGAACAAUCCUAAAGCACUGGACACCGCAUCCAAUGUCAUUGUUGGUGAAUAUUUGCUCAAGCUCAAUGAGAACUGUUGAGGAGGCUCUCAAAUGAGAAGUUUUUGCUCAAGGUCAACAUCAAAGUUAAGAAAAGAAGUUAUGAAUUUUUAUUAGAGUCACUAGGUGAGUUUGUUUGAUUUCCUUUUCACUUUUUGCACAGGUGUUUCACUUUUUGUGUUAAAAAUUCACUAAAACAAAAAGGAAGAAAACUACACACUACUCAUUUGUGGGUAUUCAUGGACCUGGAAGGGAAUGAUGGGGUAAUUCCCUCUUAUUCACUGUUUAGGAAGGCCAGAUAUGGUGAAGAUACUAUUAUUGCGAAUUUUGACACUGGUAAUUUUGGUCCCUUGUUUCUGCUAUUAUACAUUUUUGCCUUUCCUGAGUCUCAUCUACCUUAAGCUACCUAUUUAGGUCACUCAUGUAUUAUAAUUAUAUCACUAUCAUUACUAUUAUUAGAAGAUUAUGUCCAGGAGAAGAGGAGGCUAGCUAGGCCAGCAGUGUCAAAGAUGGU